GAGCACAUGUGUGCAGGUGUCUACAAGCACAUGUGUGCAUGCACAUGUAGGCAUGCAUGCGUGUGCACGUGUUAGCAUGUGAGCACGUGUUAGCAUGUGUGAGCAUGCACGUGUGAGCACACGUGUGCAGGCAUGUGUGACCACGCAGGUGCAGGCACAUGCCGUGUGUCUUC
rnacentral:sRNA from 1 species